rnacentral:rRNA from 1 species
UACGGAGGGUGCAAGCGUUGCUCGGAAUUAUUGGGCGUAAAGGGUAGGUAGGUGGUCUCAUUUGUCUGGGGUGAAAGCCUUGAGCUUAACUCAAGAAGUGCCCUAGAAACGGUGAGACUAGAGUCCUGGAGAGGGUCGUGGAAUUCCCGGUGUAGCGGUGAAAUGCGUAGAGAUCGGGAGGAACACCAGAGGCGAAGGCGGCGACCUGGACAGGUACUGACACUCAACUACGAAAGCGUGGGGAGCAAACAGG